rnacentral:rRNA from 1 species
UACGGGGGGAGCAAGCGUUGUUCGGAUUUACUGGGCGUAAAGGGCGCGUAGGCGGUCAGCACAAGUCAGUUGUGAAAUCUCCGGGCUUAACUCGGAAAGGUCAACUGAUACUGUGCGACUAGAGUGCGGAAGGGGCAACUGGAAUUCUCGGUGUAGCGGUGAAAUGCGUAGAUAUCGGGAGGAAUACCAGUGGCGAAGGCGGCUCUCUGGGGUAUUUCUGACGCUGAGGCACGAAAGCCAGGGGAGCGAACGGG